UGGAAGUCAGAUGACAGUGCAGGAGGCGCUUCUCUCCUUUCACCGCGUGGCUCCGGUGAUCAAAUUCGGCUCGUCAGUGUUAGCGGGUUCCUUCACCCGCUGAGCCAAAGAACUGGAGGUUAAAUAUAUAGAAUUCCGUUUGGCCAUGGGCUGCGGGUUAUAUCUACCACCCUGCUCCACUUUUUCAGUAAUAACUAUUUGUCGAGAAAGAAGCCCAAAUAAAUCAAGAGUGGUGCAUAUUACAUCCAACCUACGCUAGGAGUUAAUAAAUGGGGACGUUUCGUGGGCUCCAAACCGCCAGAACCAAAGUGAGAGUCAAGAGCCAGCACACACAUUGGAAAGCUGGGACCGGCAAGAAUUGUAUUUUAAUCUCAUGCAAUAUCCAGUCGUCUCUGAUACCAAUUGCCGGCGCUUUAACCACUUGAGACACUGGUCUUGUCUAGCUGGAGAAACAAGUUUGAGUACCUUCGGGCAACAUCUGCACGCUUUUAAAAAUGAACCGAAUUAAAGCUGCAGUUGCCACUAGUCGGCGCUGUUAAUAUGAGAGUCUAACUGAACAGUGGAAGGUAUUUGUCCUCCAGAAAGACAUGCUAGUCACUUGCUAAUCAUACCAAAAGUGUGUAAUUACCCACUGUGCCAACUACUGAAACUCAGAGGAGACUUGGAGACACUAGACUUAGGAAUCUGCCUUUCAAAACAACCUCAAGGGAGUUGGAGAGAUGGCUCAGCAGUUAAAAGCACCGCGGCUCUUCCAGAAGACCCAGACUGGGAUGCUCAGUUGGAAGAGUGUUUGCCUGGUAUGUACAAAGUCCUUGGUUCGAGCCCAAGCACUGCAUGAAUUCAUGAAUGGGACACAUGCUUCCCAGGUGAGUUUCUGGCCAGUCUGGACUCUAUAAGACCCUGUCUUCAAAAAGACCAGCGAUAAAGAAAAGAAAGACCUGAGUGGUUAAGAACACUUGUUGCUCUUGUAGAAUGCCUAGGUUCAAUUCCCAACACCCACAUGGACAGGCGUUAACUCCCCUUAACUGCAAUUCUAAGGGAUCUUGAAAUCCUCCAGGCCUCCACUCCAGAGAGGUGAGUGCUCCUCCCGUCUCCAUGUCCCGUUCCUAUGGCACCAGCACUGUUCCCUUUGGAGGAGCGUGUUAAUGAUACUUUAAUAUAGGUUUUAAGUAUGAAAGUUAAAGGAAGAGAGGCACUAUUGAGAGGACAGCACAGCCAAGAGCCAGGCUGUAGGCUCCUCAGAGAGGAAGCUGCUGCACUCGCCGCUUUCUUUGGGAAUGAUUUGUUUUCUGUUUUGUUUCACCACGAGACCAGAGUAAACCCUAGUGAACAAAGAUGACCUGCCAUUCGGUGCUUUACCACCCUCCCCGUCCCAACACAUACCAAGAUGCUGUCUUGGCAACAGCUUAGCCUGCAAGUGAUGAUUCAAUGUACAUUUUUCACAAACUCAGCUUUAAAAAAAUACAAGUAGAAGGUCCAGAUUCACACACAGAAGUAAAUAAUGUUUAUAAUUCCAAAAUAUUUUGCAAGAAAUUCUAGAAUAAGAAUUUUUUAGGUUAGCUCAGCGAGCCAUGUAAAGCUUGAAUAAAAUUCUGAAAUUACAUCAAUAACUGACAAAAUUCACAAAAAACUAUAUACUUUCAAAAUAUUAAGUGUUCAUAUCAAAUUGCUGUCUUCUCACAAUUACCAAAUGUAUGUUUCUUCUUAAAGGAAAAUCAACUACUCACCCCUUCCCCUGCUCUUAUUCGUCCCUCCCUCUACUAUCUUCCCCCACAUACAUAUGUACAUCCUCAGAGAGCACACACACACACACACACACACACUAUUGUCUAUAUGUCAGAGCCUUUGAAAGUUAGUUCUCUCAGAUAAGAUCUACAUGGAAAAAACACAAGCUAAAACAGUAAUGCAAAUUGUAGCAAUUGCUACAAUGUUUCAGUAAAAUUGUACAAGAGAAGAUGUGUAUGCUAUAUUCGGGUGGACUGCAACUUCAUCGCUGAGUAUUGUUAAAACAGAACAUAGCUAUCGGGGUCGUCUUCUGAACAGUUCCCUUGUGGACCCUGUGGACUUGAUGGUGUUUCUGGAUCUUGAUCUGCUUUGGCUUUUUCCUUCAUUUCUAUAAAAUCAAAACACAAAAUCAUAGAUUCAAUAAACAAUAUUGGCACAGCCUGUUACUCACUUGGAAGAGGGAGACCAUGCCACAGGCCUUGCAUACACAUUUCAGCUAGA